GAAACCUGAUUGCAGCCCUGAGACAGAGCUCACCUGCCAGCUGGACAAACCCUCCUGGAAGGAACAACAUAUCCUGGGAAUGGAAGUGGCUGAAGCACCGGCUGUUUUGAAAACAAGCCUCGAAGAGAAGGGCCAGGCCCCACCGAAGAAGUCCCAACAAUGCCUCUGCUCAACUGCCAAAGCCUCCAGCUUCCCCCUGACAACUUCUGCUAUGCACUGGAGUUCACUGUACAGCCAAGAGAUGUAAUGCCAAAGUUCAUCUGUUUUGCCUGUAACGUGCUGCUCGUUCUGCUAUGCACUAGGAUCAUCCUUUUCACAGCAACCCGACUGUGAUGUCUCAAACAGAAUGGACUUCAGUUUAGGAAUAAAAUGUAGGAGCUGAUGAACUCUCAAAAACAGAUCCGUCUUCACCAAGAACGAGGGAAAAUAAAUACUGAAUAUCUAUAUUGUCUUCUGUUAAAUUAGUGCCUAGUGUUUAAGUGAAAUACAUUAACUGUGGAAACUUUUCUCCAGCCCUCUCAUUAGGGAGUCAAUGGAGAAUUUAUAUAAUGCUCCAUGGGGGAAGAAACGGAUAGACAUCAUUCCUGUAGAUGACUGUGGCAUGGUAGCACUAGUCUUAAAGAAAACUGCCUGUCUCUCAAAUUUAUUCUUUCUACAAGAGUCAAGUCAGAAUUUUAAGAGCUUCAAGGAGGACCCCUUAGCAUAUGACUAUAAUUUCCAGAUUAUUUUUUUUAGUCAGAUGUACCACAUUAAUAUGUCUGUCAGUCUCCAUACCUUCAGUGUGAACAUUAAAACUAUGUGUUGACUAUCUAACUUUGUUUUCCAACCGAUGGAUCAUAUGAUGAAUUUCCUUGUUAAAGGACAUAUGGGCUCUCUGGAAAGUCUCUGUACAAAGAAUAUAAAACAUUUCCAAAAUGGCUAAGAGAAGAUAUUCCAUCUGGCCUUAUAAGCAACCAUGUAAUACUCAGACAUGUUUACAACUUUUGUACAAAGAUAAUGGCUUUCAUCGUAGACAUUUGAGUUGCUAUGUCAUUAGCAGUUUGUGGGGACAAAAUAUUA